rnacentral:sRNA from 1 species
GGCACCGGUGGUUGGCACACCUGAUAUUCAGGACGGGGUUCAAAUCCCUGCGGUGUC